UAAGGUGGUUAUAGCGAUAGGGCUCACCUCUUCCCAUACCGAACAGAGAAGUUAAGCCUAUCAGCGCAGAUGGUACUGCCACUAGGUGGGAGAGUAUGUCACCGCCUUUCUUUUGAAAAACCUUCAACUUAAUUGUUGAAGGUUUUUUUUUGCUCUUAUCUAAAAUGAAUUA
rnacentral:rRNA from 1 species